rnacentral:rRNA from 1 species
UACAGAGGGGGCAAGCGUUGUUCGGAAUUACUGGGCGUAAAGGGCGCGUAGGCGGCCCGCUAAGUCGAACGUGAAAUCCCCGAGCUCAACUCGGGAACUGCGUCUGAUACUGGUGGGCUUGAAUCCGGGAGAGGGAUGCGGAAUUCCAGGUGUAGCGGUGAAAUGCGUAGAUAUCUGGAGGAACACCGGUGGCGAAGGCGGCAUCCUGGACCGGCAUUGACGCUGAGGCGCGAAAGCUAGGGGAGCAAACGGG